rnacentral:rRNA from 1 species
UACGUAGGCAGCAAGCGUUGUUCGGAAUUACUGGGCGUAAAGAGUGUGUAGGCGGCGUUUCAAGUCUGGCGUGGAAUCUCCCGGCUUAACUGGGAGGGUGCAUUGGAAACUGGAAUGCUAGAGGAUGGGAGAGGUAAGCGGAAUUCCUGGUGUAGCGGUGAAAUGCGUAGAUAUCAGGAGGAACACCUGUGGUGUAGACAGCUUACUGGACCAUAUCUGACGCUGAGACACGAAAGCGUGGGUAGCAAACAGG